AUGUUCAGGUGCUGGCUCCAUGAAUUUCAUUCUGAGCGUCAGGCACCAAUGUACGUCUUUGGCAGUGGGACCCAGCUCACAGUCUUAGGUCAGCCCAGGGCCCCGCCCAUGGUCACUCUGUUCUUGCCCUUCACAAAGGAGACUCAGAGCAACAAGCCCACAUUGGUGUGUCUGGUGAGUGACUUCUACCCCAGUGCUGUGGCAGUGGCCUGGAAGGAAGACGGCAUCCCGGUCACACAGGAUGUGGAGACCACCCAGCCCUCCAAACAGGCCAACAACAAGUACAUGGUCAUCAGCUACCUGACCCUGACGUCUGAGCAGUGGGAACCUCACAGCUCAUACAGCUGCCAAGUCACCCACGAAGGGAGCAUUGUGCAGAAGAGUGCGGUCCCUGCUGAGUGUUCCUAG